GAAAAAAGUGUGAACAAAUGAUCAAAGGGCCAGAAAAGUGGGUCGAAAAUGCAAGGCCCAUUGCGUUUAAGCCCAAAACGGACAAAAAAAAAAUUGCUGGCAGAAGAAACCAUUGAGACGUCGUUUUCUUCCUCUGCUUUGUUUCUUUCUUUUGGCUAAGGUCACUUUCAUUUGGAGACAGUUGGAAUCAAAUUCAAAAUUCAAUUUCUCCCUCUCUUUCAAUAUCUAAACUCACAUUUUUACUCAUCUCUCUCCAUCUUCUCUUAACUCCUGGAACUUCUCUCUCUCCAUGACUAGAAAGGGUCAAGCUUCCUCUCUACACACAAAUUUUCGGAUUCAUUCAUUUCCCCAUCUCUUUUGACAAACCCAGCGACGAGAACGAAUGAUGAAGUAAGGUAUGCACCUCAGAUCCAUAUUCGUUUUUGAUUUACAGAUCAUUUUUUUUAUUCCAGAUCUAUUAUAUUUCUGUUCUUUCAACUUACAUGGAUUCUGCUAAUGAAUUUGAGAAAAGGUAUGUCAUUUGUUCUCUCUCUCUAAUUUUCUAUUUUUGUUCUUGCCUUGGAUUUCAUGAUUUUUUUUCCUUUGGAUUUCAUGAUUUUUUUUUUUUGCUUUGGAUUUCAUGACUAAUUAAAUGCAUGUUCAAAUUGGGAUUUCUUCCUUUCAUGUAUGUAAAGACUCGAGAUUUCUACAAUUUUCACUUUGAGCUUGCAGCAAAGUUUGUAGUUACUGGAUUUUUCUGUUUUUUUUUUUUUGGUAAAUAAGUUUUGAUUGUUGGAUAACCCCAGUUCCUAAUUUUUCUCAAUUGAUAACAACCUCAUUUUAUUUUGAUUUCAAAUUAGCAACUACUGAUAUAAAAUAUCCUAUCAAUUAGUUGUUUCUAUCUUUUAGCUAAUAAUCCCUACAUUUUAGAAGUUGUUAUUGGGAUAAUUUAGAUGGUUUUCUUCACUGCAAUAUGAUUUGUAUUUGUUAAAUUUCAGAUUUUUUUUUUUUGAAGAUUUGUAUCAAUUUAAUUUGUUUUAUUUGUUAUUUGUAAAGGGAUGGUUACUUUUUUUGCUAUUUCAUUCGUUUUCCAUUUAUGUAGUUUUUCUUUCUUACUCAUAGCAGUUUCAUUUUGAUGUCCAUUUUAUGUCUCUUUUUCCACAAAAUUGGGAAUGAUGUGAUGUAUUCAAGAAUUAAGGGUGAUAUUGUUUAUUUAGAGGGUGUACUAAAGGUUAUCAAGCUUCUACUGGAAUAAUGAAUCAGAUAUGGGAAUGAAGAAGCAGCACACGCACCAUGAAGGUGGCGGCAGCCUCAAGCUUCAAAGUUCACAAAUUAGGGUUUGAUUGAGUAAGAUAGGUUAUGAAAUAUACAACACUAACUAUUGAUUUCAUGUUCUUUUUAUUCUUACAUAUUAGGUUCUCUUCUCACCCAAAUCCUUCUUUCAUAUUUCAUGUAUUUCCCCCUUCAAUAUUUCAAUUUCUUUCGUUUUUGAAAUCCCUAAUUUUAUUCAAUUGUAUUUCUAAUCCUUUUUUUUUUCUUUUCCGGCAACAGACAAGUAACAGAUUGAAGCGGCAAUGGAUGGAACCAAACAAGGACACACCGUCGGAACCACUAUUAGGAACCGGUUCAAGUGGGUGCUACCUAAGUCAAGGAAAAAGAAUGUGAAAUAGAUUCAUUGCUAAGGUAUUGGUUGUUACAAAUAUGCAGUAGUUGGAUGGAUCUGAAUAUGAUGAUAUUGGCUACAAGAAAGUGCAGAUAGUAUAUUGGUUCACUACCUUUUGAUCUUGAGGUUGGUCAUAAGAUACUACCAAAUAUAAUUAGGAGUUUUCCCUCAGAAUUAUCCAAACUAAUCGAGAAGGAAGUUGUCAAGUCAAUGACCAUAAUAGAAAACAACUCAAACUGGGAAGGGUUAGCUAAUGAAGAGCUUUGCAUAAAUGACAAGCAAAAUAACUUAGAUGUGCAGUGUAUGGAAACUGAUUAUUUAGCUAUUCUUGACGGCACUUAUGUUGGCUACUUUGUUCUCAAUUUAGUUGUGUAAGCAAAUCUGUUGAGGUGUACAAUUUUAUUUUUUCAAUUUUUAGUGCAACUUAUACAGUGGAAUUGUUGAGUGAAAAAGAUUCUGAGUAUAUUUUAAAGCUGUUUUAAGUCUUUUCCUAAUCUAUUUUUGAUAAUGAUGUUAA